rnacentral:rRNA from 1 species
UGGGGAAUUUUGGACAAUGGGGGCAACCCUGACCCAGCGACGCCGCGUGAGGGAUGAAGGCCUUCGGGUUGUAAACCUCUUUCAGUAGGGAAGAAGCGAAAGUGACGGUACCUACAGAAGAAGCACCGGCUAACUAUGUGCCAGCAGCCGCGGUAAUACAUAGGGUGCAAGCGUUGUCCGGAAUUAUUGGGCGUAAAGAGCUCGUAGGUGGUUAGUUACGUCGGGUGUGAAAAUCUGGGGCUCAACCCCAGACCUGCACUCGAUACGGGCUAGCUAGAGUUUGGUAGGGGAGACUGGAAUUCCUGGUGUAGCGGUGGAAUGCGCAGAUAUCAGGAGGAACACCAAUGGCGAAGGCAGGUCUCUGGGCCAAUACUGACACUGAGGAGCGAAAGCGUGGGGAGCGAACAGG